rnacentral:rRNA from 1 species
UACGUAGGGGGCAAGCGUUGUCCGGAAUCAUUGGGCGUAAAGCGCGUGUAGGCGGCCAAGUAAGUCCGUUCUGAAAGCCCGGGGCUCAACCCCGGGAGGCGGAUGGAUACUGCUUGGCUCGAGUCCGGAAGAGGCGAGUGGAAUUCCCGGUGUAGCGGUGAAAUGCGCAGAUAUCGGGAGGAACACCAAUGGCGAAGGCAGCUCGCUGGGACGGUACUGACGCUGAGACGCGAAAGCGUGGGGAGCAAACAGGG